AAGGGACGUUGAAGACGACGACGUUGAUAGGCCGGGUGUGUAAGCGCAGCGAUGCGUUGAGCUAACCGGUACUAAUGACCCGUGAGGCUUAACCUUACAACGCCAGAGGCGUUUUG
rnacentral:rRNA from 2 species